GCGUCGGAUGUUUUCCUCCCAUUGCGUCCGGCGCGUUCCCCUCUGGAGGUUUUGAACCUUCAUGCCUGGCCGGACCUUAACAGUCCGGCCUUU
rfam:Mesorhizobium sp. L48C026A00 scaffold0004, whole genome shotgun sequence.